UGCGCCGUAGAACAGCGGUGGUAGUUCGGCAGGCUCAUAACCUGCAGGUCGCCCGUUCGACUCGGGCCGGCGCAACCA
rnacentral:tRNA from 1 species